rnacentral:lncRNA from 1 species
GGAAGAGAAGGGAAGGGGUGGAAGCAUGAUUGUGGAUAGGGAGAUGUCAAGUGUCCAUGGAAGCCUCAGCUGACCCUACAGGGCAUUCUGAAGGUGGCAUGAGCUUUCAGAGCCGUCCUGAGCUGCAUUUGCUAGGACCUGCCUGCAUGUUGGGAGUAUAUCGUAGGUAUUGACACAGUUCCUGUUCCCAAGGAAUACGGCCUUAUGAGAAGAGGAAGAUCUCUGUCUUUCUCCUUUGCCCUGCCAUGUGAGGACACAGCAACAAGGCAGCCAUCUGCAAGCCAGGAAGAGAAUCCUCACCAGAAUUCGAUCAUGCUGGCACCCUGAUCUUGGGCUUCCAGCCUUCAGAUCUGUGAGAAAUAAAUGUCGGUUGUUUAAGC